CUACGGGGUGCUGCAGUGGGGAAUAUUGGACAAUGGGGGAAACCCUGAUCCAGCAAUGCCGCGUGUGUGAAGAAGGCCUGCGGGUUGUAAAGCACUUUCGGUUGGGAGGACUGCUUCUAGCACUAAUAUUGUUGGAAGUUGACGUUACCUUCAGAAGAAGCACCGGCUAACUCCGUGCCAGCAGCCGCGGUAAUACGGAGGGUGCACGCGUUAAUCGGAAUUACUGGGCGUAAAGCGCGCGUAGGCGGCUAGAUCAGUCGGGUGUGAAAGCCCCGGGCUUAACCUGGGAACUGCAUCCGAUACUGUCUAGCUUGAGUACAGGAGAGGAGAGUGGAAUUCCACAUGUAGCGGUGAAAUGCGUAGAUAUGUGGAGGAACACCAAUGGCGAAGGCAGCUCUCUGGCCUGAUACUGACGCUGAGGUGCGAAAGCGUGGGGAUCAAACAGGAUUAGAUACCCUUGUAGUC
rnacentral:rRNA from 1 species